rnacentral:misc_RNA from 1 species
UGAAGAAAAAGCAUCGGCUAACUCCAUGCCAGCAGCCGCGGUAAUACGGAGGAUGCAAGCGUUAUCCGGAAUCAUUGGGCGUAAAGGGUCCGCAGGUGGCGAAUAAAGUCUGCUGUUAAAGACCGGGGCUAAACUCCGGAAAGGCAGUGGAAACUGAUUAGCUAGAGUACGGUAGGGGUAGAGGGAAUUCCCAGUGUAGCGGUGAAAUGCGUAGAUAUUGGGAAGAACACCGGUGGCGAAAGCGCUCUACUAGGCCGAAACUGACACUGUGGGACGAAAGCUAGGGUAGCGAAAGGGAUUAGAUACCCCUGUAGUCUUAGCGGUAAACGAUGGAUACUAGGUGUAGCUUGUAUCGACCCGAGCUGUGCCGAAGCUAACGCGAUAAGUAUCCCGCCUGGGGAGUACGCACGCAAGUGUGAAACUCAAAGGAAUUGACGGGGGCCCGCACAAGCGGUGGAGUAUGUGGUUUAAUUCGAUGCAAUGCGAAGAACCUUACCAGGGCUUGACAUGUCGCGAAUCUAGCGGAAACGUUAGAGUGCCUUAGGGAAUGCGAACACAGGUGGUGCAUGGCUGUCGUCAGCUCGUGUCGUGAGAUGUUGGGUUAAGUCCCGCAACGAGCGCAACCCUCGUCCUUAGUUGCCAAUAUUAAGUUAGGCACUCUAGGGAGACUGCCGGGGACAACUCGGAGGAAGGUGGGGAUGACGUCAAGUCAGCAUGCCCCUUACGUCCUGGGCGACACACGUACUACAAUGGUUGGGACAAAGGGCAGCAAACUCGCGAGAGUAAGCGAAUCUCAUCAAACCCAGCCACAGUUCAGAUUGCAGGCUGCAACUCGCCUGCAUGAAGUAGGAAUCGCUAGUAAUCGCAGGUCAGCAUACUGCGGUGAAUUCGUUCCCGGGCCUUGUACACACCGCCAGUCACACCAUGGAAGCUGGCUACGCCCGAAGUCGUUACCCUAACCCGGUUUUGGGAGGGGGAUGCCGAAGGUAGAGCUAGUGACUGGGGUGAAGUCGCAACAAGGUAGCCGUACCGGAAGGUGUGGCUGGAUCACCUCCUUUACAGGGAGACCUAGUCUAAUUACCAAUAGAUAAAAAAGUUGGUAAUUCGCAAGAAUCCUUAGGUCGUGAGGGGAGCAAGAAAAAACUUUCAAACUGUAAUGGGUGAGGGUCAAUGGGCUAUUAGCUCAGGUGGUUAGAGCGCACCCCUGAUAAGGGUGAGGUCCCUGGUUCAAGUCCAGGAUGGCCCACCUAAAAUACACAGGCAUCCUGCCUGUGCCACAAAAAAGGAAAAAGUUUUGGCAUUGUCUCUUGUAAUCAAGAGCAAGAGAUAAUGCUGGAAUAGAUU